GAUGAACGCUAGCUACAGGCUUAACACAUGCAAGUCGAGGGGAAACGACAUCGAAAGCUUGCUUUUGAUGGGCGUCGACCGGUGCACGGGUGAGUAACGCGUAUCCAACCUGCCCACCACUUGGGGAUAACCUUGCGAAAGUAAGACUAAUACCCAAUGAUAUCUCUAGAAGACAUCUGAAAGAGAUUAAAGAUUUAUCGGUGAUGGAUGGGGAUGCGUCUGAUUAGCUUGUUGGCGGGGUAACGGCCCACCAAGGCGACGAUCAGUAGGGGUUCUGAGAGGAAGGUCCCCCACAUUGGAACUGAGACACGGUCCAAACUCCUACGGGAGGCAGCAGUGAGGAAUAUUGGUCAAUGGGCGAGAGCCUGAACCAGCCAAGUAGCGUGCAGGAUGACGGCCCUAUGGGUUGUAAACUGCUUUUAUAAGGGAAUAAAGUGAGUCUCGUGGGACUUUUUGCAUGUACCUUAUGAAUAAGGACCGGCUAAUUCCGUGCCAGCAGCCGCGGUAA
rnacentral:rRNA from 1 species